rnacentral:rRNA from 1 species
AGAGUUUGAUCCUGGCUCAGGAUGAACGCUGGCGGCGUGCCUAAUACAUGCAAGUCGAACGAGGUGCUUUUGUAGCAAUACGAGAGUAUCCUAGUGGCGAACGGGUGAGUAACGCGUUGGUGACCUACCCCAAAGUGUGGGAUAACAGUCCGAAAGGAUUGCUAAUACCGCAUGUGGUCAUUGGAUUUAGAAACUGAUGACUAAAGGAGCAAUUCGCUUUGGGAGGGACCUGCGUCCCAUCAGCUAGUUGGUGAGGUAACGGCUCACCAAGGCGACGACGGGUAGGGGACCUGAGAGGGUGGCCCCCCACAAUGGAACUGAAACACGGUCCAUACACCUACGGGUGGCAGCAGUAGGGAAUAUUGCACAAUGGGCGAAAGCCUGAUGCAGCAACGCCGCGUGUGUGAUGAAGGCCUUCGGGUCGUAAAGCACUUUUCUGGGAGAUGAGAAAGGACAGUAUCCCAGGAAUAAGUCUCGGCUAACUACGUGCCAGCCGCCGCGGUAAUAC